CUACGGAGGGGGCUAGCGUUGUUCGGAUUUACUGGGCGUAAAGCGCGCGUAGGCGGUAUAUCAAGUUAGGCGUGAAAGCCCCGGGCUCAACCCGGGAACUGCGCUUAUUACUGAUAAACUCGAGUCCGGGAGAGGGUGGCGGAAUUCCCAGUGUAGAGGUGAAAUUCGUAGAUAUUGGGAAGAACACCAGUUGCGAAGGCGGCCACCUGGACCGGUACUGACGCUGAGGUGCGAAAGCGUGGGGAGCAAACAGGAUUAGAAACCCCAGUAGUCC
rnacentral:rRNA from 1 species